CGGGCGGUAGCUCAGCUUGGUAGAGCUUCCGGCUGUAGACCGGACUGUCGCAGGUUCAAAUCCUGCCCGCCCGACCA
rnacentral:tRNA from 1 species